ACGGCAUCGCUCAACUCCGCAGUUAGCGUGCUUGGGCGAGAGUAGUACUAGGAUGGGUGACCUCCUGGGAAGUCCUCGUGUUGCAUUCCC
rnacentral:rRNA from 1 species